CCUACAUAUUCUUCUAGGAUUUUUGUGGAUUCAGGAGUCACAUCAACCACCACCCUGCAUCAGUCAGCAGCCAUCACCACUGAAGCAAGACCCUCUACCAGCAAAAAGAUUAGGAUUCACUGAAGGCUUAAGAUGAUGGACAGCAUUUUUAACAAUGAAGUAUUUUUAAAUUAAGGAACUGUUGGGAAAACUUCUCAGGGCUGAGAGACUGAAGAAAGAGGCCUACAACUACAGAAUUAUGCCGAGAUUUUAUUAAGGGAACGUACGGAUAGAAGC